rnacentral:rRNA from 1 species
UGACGGUACCUGCAGAAAAAGCGCCGGCUAACUACGUGCCAGCAGCCGCGGUAAUACGUAGGGCGCAAGCGUUAUCCGGAAUUAUUGGGCGUAAAGAGCUCGUAGGCGGUUUGUCGCGUCUGCUGUGAAAUCCCGAGGCUCAACCUCGGGCUUGCAGUGGGUACGGGCAGACUAGAGUGCGGUAGGGGAGAUUGGAAUUCCUGGUGUAGCGGUGGAAUGCGCAGAUAUCAGGAGGAACACCGAUGGCGAAGGCAGAUCUCUGGGCCGUAACUGACGCUGANGAGCGAAAGGGUGGGGAGCAAACAGGCUUAGAUACCCUGGUAGUCCACCCCGUAAACGUUGGGAACUAGUUGUGGGGACCAUUCCACGGUUUCCGUGACGCANCUAACGCAUUAAGUUCCCCGCCUGGGGAGUACGGCCGCAAGGCUAAAACUCAAAGGAAUUGACNGGGANCC